rnacentral:rRNA from 1 species
UACGAAGGGGGCUAGCGUUGCUCGGAAUCACUGGGCGUAAAGGGCGCGUAGGCGGCCAUUCAAGUCGGGGGGUGAAAGCCUGUGGCUCAACCACAGAAUUGCCUUCGAUACUGUUUGGCUUGAGUUUGGUAGAGGUUGGUGGAACUGCGAGUGUAGAGGUGAAAUUCGUAGAUAUUCGCAAGAACACCAGUGGCGAAGGCGGCCAACUGGACCAACACUGACGCUGAGGCGGCGAAAAGCGUGGGGGAGCAAACACGG